CGCACAUUGCGCCCCUUGGUAUUCCGAGGGGCAUGCCUGUUCGAGCGUCAUUAUCACCCCUCAAACUUCGGUUUGGUGUUGGACUUAGUUAUACCUCGGUACAACUGGUCUCAAAGAUAGUGACGGCGUCCGAGAAGGAACCGGUACGAGGAGUUUUUCAUUAAACAUGUACACGGCAGGAUUCUCGGGCGGCGGUCUUUAUACUUAUUAUACAAGUGUUGACCUCGGAUCAGGUAGGAAUACCCGCUGAACUUAA
rnacentral:misc_RNA from 1 species